AGCACGUCUGCAAGGCGGACCGUGUAGUCGGGGCAUUUCACAAUUUCCCAUAAAACGGAGUCCAUAAACGAAUUGACUUUGCGAAAUCGGUCGAAUUUGAUUUCGAGCGAAUUUCAAUCAAAUCUUUGUUAUCGGAUUCAAUACGGAGAACGAAAAUGCUUUGCAUCGUCUUUGUCGCAUUUCUGUCGAUCGUCAAAGCCAGGGACUUUGGCAUGAGAGCCGUACCUGGAAUCAGGGAUUCCAUCAUCAACCUUGGCAAGAUGGACGUCUCCUUCUACAUGAAUGGGAAACCAGAAGAUUAUCAACAUAAACACUAUCAAGAAUCAAGCGAGGUCACGAAAACUAGCACUUGCUCAAAUGGUAAUGAUGAUGAACUAAGAUUUUUAGACAACCUCAUCAGUAGCCAUCAUAACUCACACAACCAACCCGCCUUCUCCACCAAAUGCUGCCAGAAAGAUGCCCACGAGGAUAUAAUAUUCGCGUUCACACCAAAAAUUCAUCCAAAACGUGCAAAUUCACAAAAUUCCCUUCCAUUUAACUCCAUCCCCUUCCCUUUAAACCUCUUAAUGGACCCAACGAAAUUAAAACUACCAGCAGUUCAAAAAAAAAAAUAAGAAUAUUGAAAUAGUUCUGUUUCCUAAAAGAAAAGAUGUAGAAAACGAACUGACUACAAAAGAUAUGAACCCUAA